GAUGAACGCUGGCGGCGUGCCUAAUACAUGCAAGUCGAGCGAACAGAUGAGAAGCUUGCUUCUCUGAUGUUAGCGGCGGACGGGUGAGUAACACGUGGGUAACCUACCUAUAAGACUGGGAUAACUCCGGGAAACCGGGGCUAAUACCGGAUAAUAUUUUGAACCGCAUGGUUCAAUAGUGAAAGACGGUUUCGGCUGUCACUUAUAGAUGGACCCGCGCCGUAUUAGCUAGUUGGUAAGGUAACGGCUUACAAAGGCGACGAUACGUAGCCGACCUGGAAGGGAGAUAGGCCACACUGGAACUGAGAAACGGUCUAGGCUCCGACGGGAGGAGGCAGUAGGGAGUCUUCCGCAAGGGGCGAAAGCCUGACGGGGCAACGCCGCGUGAGUGAUGAAGGUCUUCGGAUCGUAAAACUCUGUUGUUAGGUAAGAACAAAUUUGUUAGUAACUGAACAAAUCUUGACGGUACCUAACCAGAAAGCCACGGCUAACUACGUGCCAGCCGCCGCCGUAA
rnacentral:rRNA from 1 species